GACGAACGCUGGCGGCGUGGAUUAGGCAUGCAAGUCGAACGGUAUCAUCCGUUUCGGGGGUGAGAGAGUGGCGAACUGGUGAGUAACACGUAGGUUAUCUACCCUCAAGACGGGGACAACCCAGGGAAACUUGGGCUAAUACCGGAUGUGAGCAACUUUUAGUUGUUUGAAAGGUGGCGUAAGCUGUCGCUUGGGGAUGAGCCUGCGUCCUAUUAGUUAGUUGGUGAGGUAACGGCUCACCUAGGCAAUGAUAGGUAGGCGGCCUUAACGGGUGGUCGCCCACACUGGGAUUGAGAUACGGCCCAGACUCCUACGGGGGGCAGCAGUGGGGGAUCUUGCACAAUGGGCGAAAGCCUGAUGCAGCGACGCCGCGUGAGCGAAGAAGGCCUUCGGGUUGUAAAGCUCUGUCUGGAGGGACGAAACAAAUGACGGUACCUCCGGAGGAAGCCACGGCUAACUACGUG
rnacentral:rRNA from 1 species